GUGUUCACUCUGGCAGCGCAUAUACUAAAAUGGGAACGAUACAGAGAAGAUGAACACGGCCUCUGCACAAGGAUGACAUGACCAUUUGUGAAUCGUGUCAUAUUUUU
ensembl:snRNA U6 U6 spliceosomal RNA